GUCUCGGUGAAGAGCUCUCGACCAUAGGAAGUGCCGUAUGACACUGUAAACAGCAGCUGCUUCUCCGCCGCUGCAAGUGUCCGUCCUCUUUAUCAUAACCUCUGUGGUUUGGUCUGGGAUGGAAAUACCCAUUUGCACCAGCUUGAUUCAGCUGUGUGCGUGAUUUUAAACGGGUCUCUGAGGGAC
rfam:Triticum aestivum genome assembly, contig: Triticum_aestivum_CS42_TGACv1_scaffold_486916_6AS